rnacentral:rRNA from 1 species
CCUACGGGUGGCUGCAGUGAGGAAUAUUGGUCAAUGGACGCAAGUCUGAACCAGCCAUGCCGCGUGCAGGAAGACGGCUCUAUGAGUUGUAAACUGCUUUUGUACGGGGAUAAACGCAGAUACGCGUAUCUGUCUGCAAGUAUCGUACGAAUAAGGAUCGGCUAACUCCGUGCCAGCAGCCGCGGUAAUACGGAGGGUUCAAGCGUUAUCCGGAUUUAUUGGGUUUAAAGGGUGCGUAGGCGGUCGGGUAAGUUAGAGGUGAAAUCCCGAGGCUCAAACUCGGAAUUGCCGUUGAUACUGGCGGGCUAGAGAGUAGGUGCGGUAGGCGGAAUGUAUGGUGUAGCGGUGAAAUGCUUAGAGAUCAUACAGAACCCCGAUUGCGAAGGCAGCUUACCGAGCUACUACUGACGUUGAGGCACGAAAGCGUGGGUAGCAAACAGGAUUAGAUACCCUGGUAGUC